rnacentral:rRNA from 1 species
GAAAACUUUACAAUGCUGGAAACAGCGAUAAGGGGACCUCGAGUGCCAGGUUACAAAUCUGGCUGUCGUGAUGCCUAAAAAGCAUUGCAUAGCAAGGGCCGGGCAAGACCGGUGCCAGCCGCCGCGGUAACACCGGCGGCUCGAGUGGUAACCGUUAUUAUUGGGUCUAAAGGGUCUGUAGCCGGCCGGAUAAGUCUCUUGGGAAAUCCAGCAGCUCAACUGUUGGGCUUUCAGGAGAUACUGUCUGGCUCGAGGCCGGGAGAGGUGAGAGGUACUUCAGGGGUAGGGGUGAAAUCUUGUAAUCCUUGAAGGACCACCAGUGGCGAAGGCGUCUCACCAGAACGGACCUGACGGCAAGGGACGAAGGCUAGGGGCACGAACCGGAUUAGAUACCCGGGUAGUCCUAGCCGUAAACGAUACUCGCUAGGUGUCGGCCACGGUGCGACCGUUGUCGGUGCCGUAGGGAAGCCGUGAAGCGAGCCACCUGGGAAGUACGGCCGCAAGGCUGAAACUUAAAGGAAUUGGCGGGGGAGCAC